rnacentral:rRNA from 1 species
CUCCGCCGGCGACCGGCGCACGGGUGAGUAACGCGUAUCCAACCUGCCCUUUACUAUGGGACAGCCCGUCGAAAGGCGGAUUAAUACCGUAUGUUGUCAUGUUGAUGCAUAUUUUCAUGACCAAAGGCUUCGGCCGGUAAAGGAUGGGGAUGCGUCUGAUUAGCUUGCCGGCGGGGUAACGGCCCACCGGGGCGACGAUCAGUAGGGGUUCUGAGAGGAAGGUCCCCCACAUUGGAACUGAGACACGGUCCAAACUCCUACGGGAGGCAGCAG